UGUCUGCAUUGCGCAGGAAUUGGGUUGCCGAUUCAGGUGCGGUGAAGUUCUGGUUCGAGCCCAGAGCAGACAA
rnacentral:tRNA from 1 species